ensembl:lncRNA
CCAUCUCCCCGUUUAUGUCUAAAUAGGGGGAAUAAUAGGUGGUGAUUCCGUCCUUUGUUCACUUGAUGGAGGGAAUCUGCAGUUGUGCAACAAGCGUCAUGGUAAAUAAGUGGGUUUGUGGCCGUUAGUUCUUAAUUGUCCUCGCAGCGUCACAGAGAAGACACCACAUAUUCCAAGAACUUUUCUGACGUUGUUCAAUUUAGAUAAACGCGUCUUUAUCACAUGACUUUGCGGUGGGUUUGUCCUAUUUCAGAAGGGACGAUCGUAAUACGAACAGGAAGUAAAAUACAGCUCACCAACAUGCCUGGCAUCUCUCCUAAAGGUGAGACAGAAUUUGGCUGCUGCACACGCAGUUCGGUUUAUUUGAUCAAUGCUAAUCUUAUCCUUUAAAGCCCUGUGCUAUCAAAGCCGCUUGGGUCGAUUCCCCCCCCCCGCUGUGACUUUGUAAUAGAGCGCAGCACAGCGCCGCUGCAGCAACACGUGCUCUUUUCCUCCACUCGGUGUACCAGCGUGAUUCUGAGGUUUCUGCACCGUGUACCUGAAUUCAUUGCCGUGGUUCCCUUUGAUAUAGUAUUAAUUCAUCCCCUGUUUAGCCUUAUUCCCCCCGUGGUUACGUGGGUACUAUUCCAGCCGGGGUCUUUAGUCUGAGAGCCUCGCCGAGUACCGGCGCGUCGCCUCUGGAUAUCCGUCUGACGGGGUCGACUCGGAGCCCUGGAUCUGCCGCUGGUUCCGUCCUCUGGAGGCUGCGCUGCAGGCGGCUCCUGCAGACAUCCAGGUGGUUUGAUACUUGCUCUCGUCGCUCCGCUCCCUCGCUGUGCAGCUGCUCUGCUGUCCAACACGUCUCGUCCUCCCUCCUCUGUGACCCAAAGCGUUUGAUUUGGCCUUUUGGUCACACGUUCCUUCGUCCUUUGUUUUCUCUGAGGAGCACAAACUGCACCUUGGCAACAGUGACUUAAUGGAGCGGACCAACCUCCAAUGCAAAAAAGCACCCAUGAAAAUCCGGAAUAAACUCAAGUGCUUAAGUAUUUAACGGCCCGGAAGUCAGGACGCCGUUCUACUUCCUUCUCCUCUCAGGUAGACGUUACUCAGCUCUUUCUCAACCGUUGCAAAUAUCAAAUUUAGAUCCUUUUUAAUGACGCAGGUGAAUUUCAGGUUUAAUAAGAACCUGAUUUCCUUUUAAAGAGGCCGUUAAUGCAAAAAAAGCUCCGGCUUUGGUGCAGAGGAGCCGCUGCCUCGUUUCCUGGCAGAGACGCGUGGAAGCCGCCGACCGCUCGACCCCCUGGAGCUUCCAGGAGGCCGCGGGCCGAACGACCACAAAAACCCGCCGCUCCUGGAAGAGAAGCGCAGAGGAUCAGCGCAGCUGCUGCCGCUGGUCGUCCAGCGCCGGGAUCCAGGGAUGAAACGGGAGGAAAAGUUACACCGAGCUCACUUUGAAGCGCUGUUUGUAUCUCCUCGUCUCCUCGCCUGUUUUUAACCGUUGUGGAACGGGACGUGUUGUCUAAUAAAUGCACAUAUUCACAGCGUCUAACAGCAGGAGCUGCUGAAGGUCAGGUUCACCUCCGUGCAGCAGUCUGAGCCCGAGAAGAAGCCACUCGGUGCCUUGCUCAAAGGCAGACCAAUUUGAAAUGAGGCCUUUUUAAUGUGGCGGCUGACGUUGGCAUUUCUGCUGCUGUGGGAAACAGAGCACGCAGUAACGUUGGGCUUCUGGACGCCGGGGACGUUGGUAAUCACAGCUGGUGGCUGCAGAUGUGCGGCGCAGCGUGAAGGGCUUACCUCUCCAUUUGCUGUUUUAUUGAUGCUUCCCUGUUGUUAGCUCGGCUGUUCCAGAGCAAUGAGACGAGUGACGUGACCCGAGCUGAAUCACAGUUAUUAUUGUCACAUUAAAAUGGGAUCCGGGGGGUUUGUGUCUGCUGGCAUGCCGGGUGAGCCGAGCAUCGGCAUUCAGAUGAUCACUACACCAACGAUUAUUUACUCAAUAUCAGAAGAUCUGUUCAUCUGCCAGGUCUUUUUUUCUGUGGGGAGUAAUUUACCCCCUCAUUAAAAACAUAGAGACGCUUCCAGUAUUUGCGCUCAGCUAAUCGCCACCUGGGUCAAACACAGACGCGAGAGAAGCAUCGGUCUUAUGCAGCUCUACCGAGGAAAGAAAAUAAUCCUUUUCUUGCCGCCGCGACGCGUCCCUAUCUGCCUUCUCUCCAUUUGAAAAUAAAAAAGCAAUACAGAUAAAUCAAAAGCCCCCCACAGCCGAGCGUUUUCUACAAAAGCAAACAGGUGGAGGAGGAAUGCGUUUUAUAGGUCAUCUGUUCCCUGAAAGUCCCGGUGAGAGGGAACCAUCGUAAAACUGUGGGGACAUUAUUCCUACAGCCGCAGACGGACGAGAACUCGACGGCUAAACAAAACCCUUAAUCCCCCCCCCUCCAUCACCUGGGGGAGCUCUGAUGCAGAGCGGCUCACCUGUAGCCCGCCAGGCAGAAGGGCCUCUGCGAGGGAACCUGCGGCGGCCCUAAUCAUGUGACCGGCAGCCUGCGGGCAUCUCGCGCCAUCUGUCAGGGGAGGAGGUAACGGCGCAGAACGGAGGGUCCGACACCUCUAACAACCUCCAUUGUCUCACACGCACACACACACACACACACACACGCACACACGCACACGCGUGCACACAAUGGGGUUUGCAGGAGAUGAUUUUUCCUUUACUUUUCAGAAGUGUUCUUUUUUUAAUUCACAGAGAAGUUCCUGCAGACACCGGAGGUAAUUACACGAGGCGGUUAAGCGCGUUGGGUGUCAAUCCUCUUAUUAAAAUGACAUAUUCUUGGAUUUAAACGUUUCAGAUGGACGGAUUAACCAGCGACCGUCGGGGGGGGAUUCAUGUCAGAUGGAGGAGAGGAUCAUUUGAGCGCCGUUUCGUUUGUUUUUUCUUUGCGUUCAGAGGAGUUCGGUCUAAUUACACCUCGCAGAGGACUCUGAAUGGAGCUAGCACACCGUUGACCCAUUUUGAUGACUCAUGGCGUCCAACACUCAUCCAUUAGUCGUCUCUGCGACUGCCCUCGAAGGCCCUCAUCCUCACAUUUGGGUGCAUACUGUUAUUUGGGGUUUCCAACAGAAUUUGUAUGCGUUCGUUUGGAGAGUCGAGGGAUGCGUUCUGGGCAUCGGGGUUAAAUUCCCCUCCGGGUGUCGGCUCUGGUUGGCGAGAUGUAUCGGGGCACUUUAGGCCUGCGAUGCCGCGGUUCACUCCGUCAUCCGCUGAGCAGCACACACGGAUGGGCCAUGUAGCAGCAAACAUCCCAGUAUUGAGAGAGUAUUCCUAGAAUAACACAUUUAAUGCUGUUUAGCAGUGAAGAGAGCUGCUAAGGUGGGAAGAGGACGUAGCAUCAGGACUUUUAAGAGGCUCGCUAACCUUAAAAAAGGGACAUUCGUUAGCUCAGUCGCUAACGGGCCCGUGUGCUGACCGUGAUCGCGGGCAGAGGAGUGGAUCCAGCAGCGCUGAUGUCAUAAUGUUAAAAUACAACCUCACAGCAAAACGUGUAAUAGCUACGUUGUGGAGCGCGGUAUUCUCACGCUUUUUGGGGAGAAAGCGUGAGAAUACCAGGUUUCGUUUGCAACGAGGUCACGUGACCAUCAACUUCCCCUCAGCUAAAAAAAGAAAAGUCGGUCCAUUAUGUGUGAAAAACACGAUAUUUUCAGCAUUUGUAUGCAUUUCGAUGGCAUUUCUAGUGAGAAGUAUGCGUUAUAUUUUCAUAAUCUUUCAUCAGAGAAUGUAGAAGACCUCCGUUUCUUAGUUUCUGGUGACGUAGUUUCAAGGCGAUGUAAAUGAAUGGGCCGAAAUAAAACGUAGUAUUGUCACGAUUUUGGGGAGAAAGCGUGAAAAUACCACGUUCCACAACGUGGCUACUACACGUUUUGCUGUGAGACUCGGUUGUAAAAUAUUCUAAGGGGCUCUGCUGAUCUCUGUCCCCUCAUUGGUCCACAUGGUCGACAGUGCUUCUUUGUGCCGGGGGUCAGAGGUCGAUUUCUGCAGUCAAGUUUGACCCAACAUUUCCUCUGAAUGUGCAAAUGGUUAAUUGUGGAACGCUGUCACCUCCCUCUGCACCCAUCUUCACCUGACGCGGUGGUGGUUAUCCAGAGAAUCUCACAGAAUUACUUACCAGACUCUCCUCUAAAAUAUUCAGUUCCUACAUAAAUAUUCAGCUUUCCCAAAAUGAUGUAUGAGAAAAUGUUCCCGAAGUUGCCGGUGGGAUGAUCUCAUAAUUAGAAAUCAUAACUCGUAUAACUCAGUUUCAGUUUCAUUCAAAUUCAACCCCCCCACCUCCCCCC